rnacentral:rRNA from 1 species
AGCGGCGGACGGGUGAGUAACACGUGGGUAACCUGCCCAAGAGACUGGGAUAACACCUGGAAACAGAUGCUAAAACCGGAUAACAACACUAGACGCAUGUCUAGAGUUUGAAAGAUGGUUCUGCUAUCACUCUUGGAUGGACCUGCGGUGCAUUAGCUAGUUGGUAAGGUAACGGCUUACCAAGGCAAUGAUGCAUAGCCGAGUUGAGAGACUGAUCGGCCACAUUGGGACUGAGACACGGCCCAAACUCCUACGGGAGGCAGCAGUAGGGAAUCUUCCACAAUGGACGAAAGUCUGAUGGAGCAACGCCGCGUGAGUGAAGAAGGGUUUCGGCUCGUAAAGCUCUGUUGGUAGUGAAGAAAGAUAGAGGUAGUAACUGGCCUUUAUUUGACGGUAAUUACUUAGAAAGUCACGGCUAACUACGUGCCAGCAGCCGCGGUAAUACGUAGGUGGCAAGCGUUGUCCGGAUUUAUUGGGCGUAAAGCGAGUGCAGGCGGUUCAAUAAGUCUGAUGUGAAAGCCUUCGGCUCAACCGGAGAAUUGCAUCAGAAACUGUUGAACUUGAGUGCAGAAGAGGAGAGUGGAACUCCAUGUGUAGCGGUGGAAUGCGUAGAUAUAUGGAAGAACACCAGUGGCGAAGGCGGCUCUCUGGUCUGCAACUGACGCUGAGGCUCGAAAGCAUGGGUAGCGAACAGGAUUAGAUACCCUGGUAGUCCAUGCCGUAAACGAUGAGUGCUAAGUGU